AUGCUUUUCAUCUUGGCCAUUGACCCCCUUCAGCAGAUCCUCCAACUCGCCUCCCGACGAGGCAUCCUCAAGCCCAUUGCUGCCAGAUCGGCCAGAUGUAGGAUCUUCCUUUAUGCUCACGAUGCGGGCAUCUUUGCGAACCCAAACCAGGAUGAGCUUCACGCGAUUUCGGCAAUCCUAAAGACCUUUGGGGAGGCAAGCGGACUGAUCACAAACCUGAGCAAGACCGAGGUCUUCCCGAUCAAAUGUGCCGGCAUUGACCUCCAGGAUGUGCUGUCGGUUUUCCCUGCCAAGAUUGCCACCUUCCCGGGACACUAUUUGGGGCUCCCCCUACAUUUUCGUCGUCUUAAAGGUGUUGAUCUGCAACCCUUCAUCGAUAGGUUUGCAGGCAGACUAACAGGAUGGAAAGGAAAGCUUCUCAACAAGCCUGGCAGGGUGGCACUCGCUCAGUCGGUCCUCAUGGCCAUGGCCACCUUCCACAUCACAACUCUCAACUUGUCGAAGGGGACUCUUAGAAAGAUCAACCAAAUCAUUCGGGCCUUCAUCUGGCAAAAAGAAGACCAAACUCAGACCUCGGGAGGCCACUCCCUUGUUAACUGGAAGACAGUCUGCCGCCCAAGGCAUUUGGGCGGCCUAGGGAUCAUGGACCUGCAGAGAUUUAGCCGUUCCCUACGCCUACGGUGGUCGUGGUUGCAAUGGACUAACCCAGAAAGGCCAUGGGUGGGAUCAGAGCUGCCGUGUGACCAAUCAGACAUGAGCCUCUUUCGCGCAUGUACCUCUAUUACGCUGGGCAACGGGCAGAAGACUUUGUUCUGGCAUGACAAUUGGACUGGUGAAGGUCCGCUCAAGCUCCUAGCUCCAGAGCUCUACAGGAUUGCCUCAAGAAAAAACAGAUCGGUGCAGAACGAACUCAUGAACGAGAACUGGAUUAGGGCGGUGGCCAGACUGCAGACCAUUCAGCAGCUAGGUGAAUUCGUGUCUCUCUCGAACCACAUUAGUCAGAUCACCCUCCUCCCUGACCAAGAAGACACCAUUUGCUGGAACUUAACCACCUCGGGGACUUACUCGGCCGCCUCUGCCUACGACGCGUAG
rnacentral:rRNA from 1 species